GAUGAACGCUGGCGGCGUGCCUAAUACAUGCAAGUCGAGCGAACAGACGAGGAGCUUGCUCCUCUGACGUUAGCGGCGGACGGGUGAGUCACACGUGGAUAACCUCCCUAUAAGACUGGGAUAACUUCGGGAAACCGGAGCUAAUACCGGAUAAUAUAUUGAACCGCAUGGUUCAAUAGUGAAAGACGGUUUUGCUGUCACUUAUAGAUGGAUCCGCGCCGCAUUAGCUAGUUGGUAAGGUAACGGCUUACCAAGGCGACGAUGCGUAGCCGACCUGAGAGGGUGAUCGGCCACACUGGAACUGAGACACGGUCCAGACUCCUACGGGAGGCAGCAGUAGGGAAUCUUCCGCAAUGGGCGAAAGCCUGACGGAGCAACGCCGCGUGAGUGAUGAAGGUCUUCGGAUCGUAAAACUCUGUUAUUAGGGAAGAACAAAUGUGUAAGUAACUAUGCACGUCUUGACGGUACCUAAUCAGAAAGCCACGGCUAACUACGUG
rnacentral:rRNA from 1 species